rnacentral:rRNA from 1 species
CAGUAGCCGCGGUAAUACGAAGGGGGCUAGCGUUGUUCGGAUUUACUGGGCGUAAAGCGCACGUAGGCGGACUUUUAAGUCAGGGGUGAAAUCCCGGGGCUCAACCCCGGAACUGCCUUUGAUACUGGAAGUCUUGAGUAUGGUAGAGGUGAGUGGAAUUCCGAGUGUAGAGGUGAAAUUCGUAGAUAUUCGGAGGAACACCAGUGGCGAAGGCGGCUCACUGGACCAUUACUGACGCUGAGGUGCGAAAGCGUGGGGAGCAAACAGGAUUAGAGACCCCAGUAGUCCCUGUCUCUAUACA